GAAAUGUGAUAAGUAAUGUGAAUUGCAGAAUUCAGUGAAUCAUCGAAUCUUUGAACGCACAUUGCGCCCGCCAGUAUUCUGGCGGGCAUGCCUGUUCGAGCGUCAUUUCAACCAUCAAGCCCCGGGCUUGUGUUGGGGACCUGCGGCUGCCGCAGGCCCUGAAAACCAGUGGCGGGCUCGCUGUCACACCGAGCGUAGUAGAUUCUCAUCUCGCUCAGGGCGUGCUGCGGGUUCCGGCCGUAAAACAGCCUUAUUUUACCCAAGGUUGACCUCGGAUCAGGUAGGAAGACCCGCUGAACUUAAGC
rnacentral:misc_RNA from 1 species